AGAAGCUCACUGGCUCUACCCGGGACCCUGAGCUGCCUAGGGCUGGGGGAGGCGUCCGAGCAGUCGCGGAGCCUGCCAGACCCUCGGCUAGAAUGGGGACCCGCUGUCCAGCCGAGGCUGGCGGAGGCGCACCGGGGGCGCAGAGGGCGAUGCUAGUAGUCUGGACCCAAAGGACUGCAGGAAGGAGACCGUGAGGAAGCGUCUGUGCCUGGGAAGCCCCAGCUCCUGCUUGGGCCAGGCAGCCAGCACCUACCUGAUCCCGGGGAACCGGAGUCCGGCGGCGGCAGGAGAGCUGCCAGGUAGGACGGCGGGCAAAGCGCUUCUUCAAGUUCCUGCGCUGGAGUCACCACCCGAGAGGCAUCGCCGUCUGGCGUUGGUGUCUGAGCAGAAGCCGCAGGAACCAGCGGGAGCAGCAGGAGGAGCUGCGGGACUCGUUUGCCGAGGCUCGUGUUCUGCUCAAAAGUUUGUAGACGCGCAGAACCAGGAGGGAGCGUGACACGGAGAGAAGGGGGCGCAGAGAGAGAGGCAGAAGAAAGAAAGAGGGGGCGAUGAGGUGAAGCGCGGAGGAGCAAGGUGGCCUCACGUAAUGAUCGGGUAUCAGAAAAAGACGUCAGCAUCCUAGUCCCUCAAGGAACAUAUUAACUAUUCUGUGCUGUCCUCUUGGAUGAUAAGAUCCGGAGUCAUCGACUUCUCAUAAACACCUUUCACUCAUACAAUCCAAUUUUUAAGAAGUCCAAUUGUUUUGAUGGUUUUCAAUUUCACCCGUUUCUCAAGGACAGGUAAAGAAUUUUUAGAAUUUUGAGGAUGACAAAAGUUAUGUUUUUAACUAUAUAAUUACGAUUUCUCUUUACUUUUUCAUCAAGCCUCACCAAUCAGAGCUCUGGUCUCUGGAAUUAAGCAUCAUCAAGCUCUCCUAUUAAUAAAUUUAAUUUAGAUCUCC
ensembl:lncRNA novel transcript, antisense to ADCYAP1